UCCGUAGGUGAACCUGCGGAUGGGAUCAUUAC
rnacentral:rRNA from 1 species